rnacentral:rRNA from 1 species
CCUACGGGAGGCAGCAGUGGGGAAUAUUGGACAAUGGGCGAAAGCCUGAUCCAGCAAUGCCGCGUGAGUGAUGAAGGCCUUAGGGUCGUAAAGCUCUUUUACCAGGGAUGAUAAUGACAGUACCUGGAGAAUAAGCUCCGGCUAACUCCGUGCCAGCAGCCGCGGUAAUACGGAGGGAGCUAGCGUUGUUCGGAAUUACUGGGCGUAAAGCGUACGUAGGCGGUUAUUCAAGUCAGAGGUGAAAGCCCGGGGCUCAACCCCGGAACGGCCUUUGAAACUAGAUAGCUAGAGUCUUGGAGAGGUCAGUGGAAUUCCGAGUGUAGAGGUGAAAUUCGUAGAUAUUCGGAAGAACACCAGUGGCGAAGGCGACUGACUGGACAAGUACUGACGCUGAGGUACGAAAGCGUGGGGAGCAAACAGGAUUAGAUACCCUGGUAGUCCACGCCGUAAACGAUGAUAACUAGCUGUCCGGGUACUUGGUAUCUGGGUGGCGCAGCUAACGCAUUAAGUUAUCCGCCUGGGGAGUACGGUCGCAAGAUUAAAACUCAAAGGAAUUGACG